GGCUUGGUGGUUCAAUGGCAGAAUGGAUGCUUGCCAUGCAUUCGACCCGGGUUCGAUUCCCGGCCAAGUCA